GACGAACGCUGGCGGCGUGCCUAAUACAUGCAAGUAGAACGCACAGUUUAUACCGUAGCUUGCUACACCAUAAACUGUGAGUUGCGAACGGGUGAGUAACGCGUAGGUAACCUGCCUGGUAGCGGGGGAUAACUAUUGGAAACGAUAGCUAAUACCGCAUAAUAUUGAUUAUUGCAUGAUAAUUGAUUGAAAGAUGCUAUUGCAUCACUACCAGAUGGACCUGCGUUGUAUUAGCUAGUAGGUGAGGUAACGGCUCACCUAGGCGACGAUACAUAGCCGACCUGAGAGGGUGAUCGGCCACACUGGGACUGAGACACGGCCCAGACUCCUACGGGAGGCAGCAGUAGGGAAUCUUCGGCAAUGGACGAAAGUCUGACCGAGCAACGCCGCGUGAGUGAAGAAGGUUUUCGGAUCGUAAAGCUCUGUUGUAAGAGAAGAACGGGUGUGAGAGUGGAAAGUCACACUGUGAC
rnacentral:rRNA from 1 species